rnacentral:tRNA from 1 species
UCCCUAGUGGCUCAGCGGGUAAAGAAUCUGCCUGCAAUGCAAGAGACCCAGGUUAAAUCCCUGGGUUGGGAA